CCUUCCGGAAGGGGCACCUCAGCCGGGCGUUGCGUUUCAUGGCCCUCCUCCUUGUUACCAGAAAGUUUCCAUGGAGAUGGGCCUCUUCCUCGAUUUCCCCUCCUUAAGGGAGGGAGCUGAGGAAACCUGACCCCAGGAGGCUAUAGAAGAAUGGACCGAGGAACCUUACUGCCACUCUGACCACAUCCAGAGGCAUCUUGUCCUAUACGCUCUGAAGGGCUUGAGCCCAGGAGUUCAAGACCUGCCUGGGUAAUACAGCAAGACCGCAUUCUCCACAAAAAGGGGAAAAAAACGACCAAAAAACACCCUAUGAUUAAUGAAAAAUAAAUGGAAGAUAAUAUAGACAAAGGGAUGAAGGCAAGAAAAGCUUCAAAGGAGAACUGUGAUCUAUGGAAAAGUAAAAGACCCAUAAUAGCCAAAAUAAUGUUGGAAGAGAAUAACAAAGUUGGAGGACUUACACUUUUUGAUUUCAAAACUUACAACAAAGCUAAAAUAACCAAGAUAAUGUGGCAUUAGUAUAAAGACAGAUAUAGAGAUUGAUGGGUCAUAAUUGAGAUUCAAGAAAUAAACCCUUACUAUUAUCAUUAAUUGAUCUCUGGUAAAAAUGCAAGGCAAUUCAAUGGAGGAAAGGCCAGCUUUGCUAAAAAAAGGUGCUUGGAAAAUUGGAUAUUCACAUGCAAGAUGAAUUAAAGCUCUUAUCUCGUGCCAUACACAAAAAUUUACUCAAAAUGGAUCACAAAAUCAUAGACCUAAAUGUAAGAGCUAUAACUAUAAAACUCUGAGAAGAAAACAGGAAUAAGUUCUUAUGGUUAGGGAAAGAUUUCUUAGAUGUGACACCAAAAGCGUGAAGGCUUCGGGUAUUAUAUGUCUUUGUGUGUGUGUGUGUGUGUGUGUGUUUGUUUGUUUGUUUGUUUGUUUUUUGAGACAAAGUCUCAUCACGCAGGCUGGAGUGCAGUGGUGCACAACCUCUGCCUCCCAGGUUCAAGCGAUUC
rnacentral:lncRNA from 10 species